rnacentral:rRNA from 1 species
GCAUAUCAAUAAAGCGGAGGGAAAAAAGAAAACUAACAAAGGAAUUUCCCCUAGUAAACGGCGGAGUGAAGCGGGAAGAGCUCAAAUUUAAAAUCUGGUUUGCUUUGCAAAUCCGAGUUGUAGUCUGAAGAAACGUUUUCCAUGAAAGCUGAGGCACAAGUCCUUUGGAACAGGGCAUCAUAGAGGGUGAGAAUCCCGUCCAUGGUCUCAAGCCUUUCAUUUUGUGAUACGUUUUCUAAGAGUCAGGUUGUUUGGGAAUGCAGCCUAAAAUGGGUGGUAAAUUUCAUCUAAAGCUAAAUAUUGGCGAGAGACCGAUAGCGAACAAGUACCGUGAGGGAAAGAUGAAAAGAACUUUGAAAAGAGAGUUAAAAAGUACGUGAAAUUGUUGAAAGGGAACCGUUUGAAGCCAGUCUUGCUUGCUUGUGAUCAAUCUUUGCUUCGGCUUGGAUGCACUCUCAGGUUAUGCAGGUCAACGUCAGUUUGAGAGGUGGGAAAAAAGCUUGAGGAAUGUGGCCUUCGGGUGUUAUAGCCUCUUGCUAAAUACCAUCUUUUGGACUGAGGCUCGCAGCAAAAAUGUGGGCAGGUUUGCGUUUGAGGUGAUACAUUAUUAAGACAGCUUGCUGACUUAGUUUUGUCUAUCUUCACUGCAAGCUUCGCUUCUAAUUUGCUUAGGUCGUUGACAUAAUGGCUUUAAAUGACCCGUCUUGAAACACGGACCAAGGGAGUCUAACAUAUAUGCGAGUAUUUGGGGUGGGCAAACCCACAUGCGCAAUGAAAGUGAAAUUAGGUGCCAAACUCUCACGAGUGGCAGCAUCGGCCGGCUCUGACGUUUCUAACUGACGAGUCUGAGCAGAAGCAUACAUGUUGGGACCCGAAAGAUGGUGAACUAUGCCUGAAUAGGGUGAAGCCAGAGGAAACUCUGGUGGAGGCUCGUAGCGAUUCUGACGUGCAAAUCGAUCGUCAAAUUUGGGUAUAGGGGCGAAAGACUAAAUCGAGCCAUCUAGUUAGCUGCUCUUGCGGAG